rnacentral:ncRNA from 1 species
UCCCGUCGCAUGUGCGGGUUAUCACAUGCAACCUCCCUGUUGGACUGGCCCCGGCUUCGUGCCGGGGCCUUUUU